UUUAUCUCUCUUGCCUAUCUAAUCUUUGUCUUUUCUAACAUUUCUUUAUUUCUUUUAUAUCUUUCUCUCUCGUUAUUUCCUUUUCUCAUUCUUUGUCUUUAUUUUUUUUUAAUGCAUUUAAACAUUUCUCAUAUCCCUAGGUAUCUCUCCAUUCUCCUCAGCACAAGUAACGAAUCAAAGUAAAAUGAUGUGGACAAGAUUUGAUUUGGGAAUCCAAGAAGAUCCAACAAGGUCAAGAUAUGGAAAAGGAGAUAUUAUAGAGAGGUAUGCAUCCCUCUAGCCCUACUAGCAUUUUUAAGACUCUUUUUUAAAUAUUUUGAUGAGAUCUGGUUGAAAAGUCCGAAGAAGUGCGAACGAGUCCGAAAAAGCACGAAAAUAACAAUAAACUAAAUGUUUUAAAACUAUAAAAGAUUUUAACACCUAUAUAUCUAUUAAAAAUCUUAAGAUAUUAGGUAUAUGGAUCAUCUAUUUUAUAUAUAUUCAAGAUUAACUCAUUCAUACGUUUAUUGGCUACACCAGCAUAAAGAAUUUCGAUACAAAAAUCCAAUAUCAAUAUCCACUUUCGCUCCCUCGUUAAGCUAAACCAUGACUUUGAUACCACUUGUUGAGAAGUUCAGGGAGUUUCGAGACCAACAACGAGUCGAAUGCUUCAAAAUCUACAAGAGAUUUUGAUAUUACAUAUCUACCCAAAAAUCUUAAAUCAUUAGGUAUAUAGACUAUCUAUCUUAUAUCCAAGAUUUAACUCAUUCAUAAUCGAUUUAGAACUUAACCAAUUACACUUAAAUUCAACAUUAUGAUACUAUUAUAAACAAAAGUUUACUUAGAGAAUUUUCAAUGAUAUAAUUUUUUUAACGAUAUAAUUUUAUAGUUUUAAGUGGGACCAUGAAUUCAAAGUUUAUUAUAAUCCCUCAUGUUUUACUAAAAUAUGAGAAUUCAACACUAAGUUUUUUAACUUACAAAUGUCAUACGUCUCUCUUUAAUAUCUCGUAUUUUUUUUCUCACUUUUACACUUCUAAAUGCAAAAAAAAAAAAAAGAAAUCUAUCUAAUAUAAUAUAAAAAAGUUUGGUGCUCUAUAAAUUAUCAAAUUGUCUAUUGUUUGCAUUGCUAACACAUCAUCAGUUGUGCACUCAUUUAGCCUCUAACUAAUUUAAUUCAACCGCAACAUUGUCAUGAAUUUUAUGACCAACACAUAUCAACUUUAUUUGUCUUUUACCAUUGCACUAAUGAAUCAUUAUACGACACUAUUCGUUUUCUUCUCAUCCACGUUUCAACAAAAAAAAAAAAAAAAAAUCAAUCUCACUUGCUACGAAACAUACAUAAGCUUUCUUCUACUCCUACUCUGACUCCAUUUUUAUUUUUCUUUCUCUAUUCAUAUGAAAAUUGUUUCAUGCAUUACAUUUUGUUAGAUUUUCUUUCCAAAAGACUGUUUCUUCUAUAUUGUCUCCAUGUUUAUCUUUUUUCAUUUCUUGUAUUACAUUUUAUGUUGUCAAUUUUUUUUUAUUUUUUUGAACUCUUUGUUUUCCGUUAUUAUUGCUCAAAUUUGUAUACUUCAUCUUCAAUUUCUUGUAUUUUUUCAUUCUAUUUGCCGCGGACUAAAAUUUCGAGUGUUUCUCUAAUUCAAUGGAAUCGCCACCAAAUUUAUUUUAAAAUAGGGAAAAUAUUGGAAAACCCUUAAAAAUAGAAAAUAAAAUUAAAAAAAUGGUCUUUAAAACCAAAUUUUGAGUUCGACAGUUGAUUGCGUAUGGAAGGUAUUAGAACAACGAUUAUUAUUAUUACUAUUAUUAUUAUUAUUAUUAUUAUUAUUAUUAUUAUUAUUAUCAUUUUAAUUAUGAUUUUGGAAUAAAUGUGUUCAAGGAAAAAAAAACAAAAAAAAAUAAUUUUUUUUAAUGUGCUUGACAAAAAUGCGAUCUUGCUCCUACGUAUCUCCCAGUGUGACGAAGAAAUCAAAGCUACGUAGUUCUUAGGUAGAAAAUGUUGAUGUGUUUUUUUUUUACGAAAAUGAGUUUUGUUAUACUUAAAAAUAUUUUGACAACAAAAGAAAAUAAUUUGUCUGACUUAAGAAAAUACUUUAAAAUACGAGUUUUAUGACUAUCAAGCGGUACAACUUGUGUCUCAAAAACUCAAAGAAUAAAAAGAUAUUUCAUCUAAUUAAUCUUUUUAACAAUAUUUUAAAUUAUUUUUCGGUUUAUAUAUGAAAAAAAACACCAAGUUGUACAAUAUGUGUUUUAACAACUCAAAGAUAAAAAAUAAUACCACAUCAAAUUUAAGUCCAUUUUAGAUUAAUUCAUUAAGAUAAAUAAAUAAAUAAAGAGAGUUUUAGGACUAUCAAGUUGUAUCACUUGUGUACUAACUCAAAGAUUAAAAGAUGUCACAUCUAAUUAAUUUUUCAAAAUUCGAUUAUAAAUUAUCUUUGCUUUUUUUUUUAUAAAUAAAAUAAAAUAAAUUGAUGUUAAAUAUUAAAUAAGUUUAAAUAAUUCUAUGAAAUAAAGUCAGUAGUAAACAUAAAAAAAAAAUCGUAAAAAAGAUACAUAGACUUGUAAUAUAAUCUAUUAAAUAAAUAAACAUUUUAAUAAUUGAAAAAAAAAACAUAUUCAAAUGUAAGCUCUUUCAAAAUAACUUUUAAGUAAAUAAGUGAUUGAAACAAAACUUAUUUUUAUAUUAAAUAGCACAAUCCAAAGUUAAAAACAAAAAAACGAUUAAUACCAUUUAUAAAUAAAAUAAAUGAUGUUUAUUAUCAUUUAAUUACAUCCAUAAUUAUUUAUAAUAAAUAGAAAUUAAAUGAAAAUUGUAGCAGAAUUUUUAUUAAUUAAAUGAAAUAAAGUGAUGGAAAUAUAAGUUAUUGGCAAGGCUAUAAUGACUAGCUAGCAUAGCAAAGCAAUGUUAAGUCCAACCAGUCUGGCAAGCGAUCAAAGCAAAUGUUAAGUCCGAACAGCCUAGCGAACGGUUCAAAUAGGCUGACAUAAAGCAAAAUGUGUUUGAAAAGAUGGCGUAAAGGGAAACCGCAACUGAGCAUCCAUGGUAAAAGAACAAAUCCAAUUUUAAGCUUUAUUAACACAAUAAAAAAUGAUUUCAACCAAAAACAAACAUCCACACAAACAAAACAAAAUUCCAUCUUUCAAAUAAAUUAAAUCUAGUUUCAAAUUUUAGCUUCCAAUCUAAGCAUCAAACAUGAAGAUAAUGAGAAGAUAUAUGCCUUUUCAGAUACCGAUGAAACAGAGACGGUGGUUCGCGGUGGAAGUUGAAACGACGGUGAUGCUUUCUGUUUCUUCUUCUUUUUCUUCUUCUCUUUCUUUUUAUGUGUUUUCCAUCAAUAUUAAUCUCAGAUCCCUCCUCCUUUUUCUUUUUGAAAUUUGAUAGGGCGUAUUUAUAGAGUUUUUUUUAUCUGUUUAGUUGCUUUCUUGUUUGCCUUGGUCCUUCUCCAUCAAUGUCCUAUUUGAUGUUUGGUUUUCUUUGCUCAUCAUCUGCAUUUUUCUGCACCUUUGAUGCCUUCAUAAUUUUAGAUUAUUUGUUCUGAUCUGUUCAUUGCUGAGCUUUUAUUUGUCUUUUAGUUUCUUUUUUUUUUAAACUAAAAAAUUUGUCUCUUUGUUCUUAUCAUGUGUGCAAAGGGUGACUAGUAAAAAAAAAUAUUUUUUUGUUUCUCGAAUUAAUUACAAAGCAAAGGCUGGUGCCUCAACCAUGACAUUGUAUCAGGAACAGAAAGGCAACAGUAAGGAUAGCAACAAAACAGAACCAAAGCAGGCUGGCUUAAUUUGGUUUAAUUUGAUUGUAAUUGUAAAUUAAAAUUGUAUUUUGAGACAUAAUGAAAUUAUUUAUUGUAAUUAUUUUUAUUUACUUUUUUAAAUACAUAUUUCCUUUUUUUGAGUUAUUUUCCUUUUUGAUUUACUUGGACA
rnacentral:lncRNA from 1 species